rnacentral:rRNA from 1 species
GAUCCUGGCUCAGGAUGAACGCUAGCGACAGGCUUAACACAUGCAAGUCGAGGGGCAGCGGGGAGUAGCAAUACUCUGCCGGCGACCGGCGCACGGGUGAGUAACGCGUAUGUAACCUGCCUUAUACAGGGGAUAGCCCAUGGAAACGUGGAUUAAUAUCCCAUAGUACUGAGAAUCCGCAUGGUUUUUUCAGUUAAAGCUUCGGUGGUAUAAGAUGGACAUGCGUCCUAUUAGGUAGUUUGGG